ensembl:lncRNA
GGGGAAUCUAAAAUUUUGAUUUUCGUCUCUUGACAGGAGGGGACUGGGCCUGAGAACUCUGGAGGUCUUUGGUAAGUAAUCACAAGGGGAGGGGGGCAAGGGCUCUUCCGUCCUUUCCCAGAACUUCCACCAGUCUCCUGACUAAUCCUAAGUCCUUCCUUAACGGCUUGAUUUCCCGUGGCGCCCUUCUCUUCUCCUGAAGGCAACAAGAACACACAAUGAGUAAUGGGUAAAACGGAGAAUGCCUUGCUCCUAGCUUCUUUGCUCUUUGGGUUGUACUUCACCAGCGUCUGGACAGCUCCUCCACUCCCAUAGACCUCCUAGGUAGAUAUAAGGUAACACACAAAUCCCUGAGGGCACAGGUAAGUAACAAAGGUAAGGAUGUAGCAAGGUAACUAGGCCAUGCCCCUGGAUGUCCACCGGUAUAUCAGAAGCGAGUAACUUUUUACUCGUAACACAGAUAGGUAUUGAGCAAGGUGACUGACUCUUCACACUAGGCUUACUGAGCGGGUUCCAGAGCAAUGGCUUUUAACUCGUGCAGGCGGAUAAGUAUUCAACAAGUAGCUGUAUCUUCACACUGGGCUUUACAGGGCGUAUUCAAGGUCAGUAGCUUUUAGCUCGUACAAACAGGUAAGUAUUCAACAAGUGACUGUAUCUUCACGCUGGGCUUUACAGGGCGUAUUCAAGGGCAAUAGCUUUCCCCACAAUAUCCGCACAAUACCUUGUUUUGCUUUCGCGCUUCACCUUCAAGCUGGGUCCGGAGAACGGAGUUAUAGGCGGGCAUAGGUGGGAUAGGUGGGCACCGCCACGGCAGCCUACGUUCUCUCCAACAGGAACUUUUCUCGGCCUGGAGGGCGAGUACAGACAACAGGGACACGGCACAGCACUGCAAAGCUUUGGUGUACACACGUCAAAGACAGACUCACCCACUGCACUACACACACUUCAGUGAUUUUUAAGGUCGGUACUCCACGCCCGGUCGGAUUUCGUCCUGGAGGAGUUUGCAGUCGCUGUCACGGUAAGUGCUCCAAACUUUACGGUGUGGCCACAGCCAAAUAACAUCCAUUCACCCACGCUCUACUUCGGCUCACCCACUCGUCUCGUCCUCCAACGAUGGGGCCGCUCAACAAGCUGUUAAUCACUCCAACAGGUAUUAGUUAUCCAUAUCCAAGUAUGAGCAAUGAUAUGUAAGCAAUCCAAUGUACUCACAGUCUUCGCGAUACUGAUCCUCUCCCGCUCUCUUUCUCAUCCAGAUAUAAACAACAAUCUAAGCAAUCCAAUGUACUCACAGUCUUCGUAAUACUGAUCUCCUCCCGCUCUCUUUCUCUCCCCAGCUUCGUGCAGACGCCCAGAAAUGUCUUCGUUGUUCCACAAUGUCACUAUUUC